rnacentral:tRNA from 1 species
GGGUAUAUAACUCAGUUGGAAGAGUGCUUGCCUGCCAUGCAGGAGGUGUGGUGGCAUACACCUGUAAAUCCA